UUUCCGUAGGUGAACCUGCGGAAGGAUCAUUGCACACACAAGUUGCAGCAAACCCUUUGCGAAUUCAUGAUCGUCCCCACCCUUAUAAUAUAACUUGGGGGGCCUGCUGCUGCUGGGACGGUUCCAUCUCUUGCCUGCCGCUGGCUGAUCACCGGUGGCGGGGCAGGCGUUGGGAUUUUCCCUCGGCCUCCUCCCAGACCCGAGCGUUCCCUUCGGGGGACGCUCGGUGUGUUAUAAUAUACCCACAACCGAUUGCACAAUGCAUCAACACCUCCAAAAAGACUGAGUAAUAAGAACAAGAGGACCUCGGUCCUCGAGUUGUAAUAUAAAACAAAAUACAACUCUCAGCAACGGAUAUCUUGGCUCUU
rnacentral:misc_RNA from 1 species